GACGAACCGUGCGAACGUUAAUCGGAUUCAUUGGGCUUAAAGGGCGCGUAGGCGGCGGCGUAAGUUCGUGGUGAAAUCCCAUCGGCUCAACCGUGGAAUUGCUUCGAAUACUGCGUCGCUCGAGGGAGAUAGGGGACCGCAGAACUGCCGGUGGAGCGGUGAAAUGUGUUGAUAUCGGCGGGAAUGCCAGUGCCGAAAGGGGCGGUCUGGACCUGUUCUGACGCUGAGGCGCGAAAGCUAGGGGAGCGAACGGG
rnacentral:rRNA from 1 species